rnacentral:rRNA from 1 species
UACGUAGGGGGCAAGCGUUGUCCGGAGUUACUGGGCGUAAAGCGCACGCAGGCGGUCUUUUAAGUUUGGAGUGACAGUUGGUGGCUUAACUGCCAAAGUGCUUCGAAAACUGAAAGACUUGAGGGCUUCAGAGGGACACGGAAUUCCGGGUGGAGUGGUGAAAUGCGUAGAGAUCCGGAGGAACACCAAUGGUGAAAACAGACAGCUGGGAGUGUGCUGACGCUGAGACACGAAAGCCAGGGGAGCGAACGGG